rnacentral:rRNA from 1 species
AACGAACGCUGGCGGCAUGCCUAACACAUGCAAGUCGAACGAGACCUUCGGGUCUAGUGGCGCACGGGUGCGUAACGCGUGGGAACCUGCCCCUAGGUUCGGAAUAACUCCCCGAAAGGGGUGCUAAUACCGGAUAAUGUCUUCGGACCAAAGAUUUAUCGCCUUUGGAUGGACCCGCGUUGGAUUAGCUAGUUGGUAGGGUAAAAGCCUACCAAGGCGACGAUCCAUAGCUGGUCUGAGAGGAUGAUCAGCCACACUGGGACUGAGACACGGCCCAGACUCCUACGGGAGGCAGCAGUGGGGAAUAUUGGACAAUGGGCGAAAGCCUGAUCCAGCAAUGCCGCGUGAGUGAUGAAGGCCUUAGGGUUGUAAAGCUCUUUUACCCGGGAUGAUAAUGACAGUCCCGGGAGAAUAAGCUCCGGCUAACUCCGUG